GACGAACGCUGGCGGCGUGCUUAACACAUGCAAGUCGAACGGUAAGGCCCUUCGGGGUACACGAGUGGCGAACGGGUGAGUAACACGUGGGUGAUCUGCCCUGCACUUCGGGAUAAGCCUGGGAAACUGGGUCUAAUACCGGAUAGGACUCCUGGCUUCAUGGUUGGGGGUGGAAAGCUUUUGCGGUGGGGGAUGUGCUCGCGGCCUAUCAGCUUGUUGGUGGGGUAAUGGCCUACCAAGGCUUCGACGGGUAGCCGGCCUGAGAGGGUGACCGGCCACACUGGGACUGAGACACGGCCCAGACUCCUGCGGGAGGCAGCAGUGGGGAAUAUUGGACAAUGGGCGGAAGCCUGAUCCAGCAACGCCGCGUGAGGGAUGACGGCCUUCGGGUUGUAAACCUCUUUCAGCACCGACGAAGCGAAAGUGACGGUAGGUGCAGAAGAAGGACCGGCCAACUACGUGCCAGCCGCCGCCGUAA
rnacentral:rRNA from 1 species